rnacentral:rRNA from 1 species
UGCAGAGGUCUCAAGCGUUGUUCUGAUUCAUUGGGCGUAAAGGGUGCGUAGGCGGCGCGGUAAGUCGGGUGUGAAAUCUCGGAGCUUAACUCCGAAACUGCAUUCGAUACUGCCGUGCUUGAGGACUGGAGAGGAGACUGGAAUUUACGGUGUAGCGGUGAAAUGCGUAGAUAUCGUAAGGAAGACCAGUGGCGAAGGCGGGUCUCUGGACAGUUCCUGACGCUGAGGCACGAAGGUCAGGGGAGCAAACGGG